rnacentral:rRNA from 1 species
AUUGAACGCUGGCGGCAGGCCUAACACAUGCAAGUCGAGCGAGCGGCGGACGGGUGAGUAAUGCCUGGGAAUUGCCCAGUCGAGGGGUAUAACAGUUGGAAACGACUGCUAAUACCGCAUACGAUUUGAUUGCCCAGGUGGGAUUAGCUAGUUGGUGAGGUAAUGGCUCACCAAGGCGACGAUCAAUAGCUGGUCUGAGAGGAUGAUCAGCCACACUGGAACUGAGACACGGCCCAGACUCCGACGGGAGGCAGCAGUGGUGAAUAUUGCACGAUGGGGGAAACCCGGAUGCAGCCAUGCCGCGUGUGUGAAGAAGGCCUUCGGGUUGUAAAGCACUGUCAGCGAGGAGGCGUUACUCGCAGAGGAAGCACCGGCUAACUCCGUGCCAGCCGCCGCGGUAAUUC